rnacentral:tRNA from 1 species
AGCAGUGUGGCCUAAUGGAAAGACCAUGAGCUUGGGAGUCAGAGGAUGUGGGUUCUAAUCCCAGCUCUGCCA